GUGGGGAAUCUUCCACAAUGGACGAAAGUCUGAUGGAGCAACGCCGCGUGAGUGAAGAAGGGUUUCGGCUCGUAAAGCUCUGUUGUCGGGGACGAAGCUGCAGUAUUUGAAUAAAGUACUGUAAUGACGGUACCUGACGAGGAAGCCACGGCUAACUACGUGCCAGCAGCCGCGGUAAUACGUAGGUGGCAAGCGUUGUCCGGAAUUAUUGGGCGUAAAGGGAGCGCAGGCGGGAAGGUAAGUCGGUCUUAAAAGUGCGGGGCUCAACCCCGGGAUGGGAUCGAAACUAUCUUUCUUGAGUGCAGGAGAGGAAAGUGGAAUUCCUAGUGUAGCGGUGAAAUGCGUAGAUAUUAGGAGGAACACCAGUGGCGAAGGCGACUUUCUGGACUGUAACUGACGCUGAGGCUCGAAAGCCAGGGGAGCGAACGGGAUUAGAUACCCGGGUAGUCC
rnacentral:rRNA from 1 species